rnacentral:lncRNA from 1 species
AAUCAGGAACUUCCUGGAAUUGGGAAUCCCUAUCCAUAGAAACUGGGAACUCUUUGGGAUUGGAAAUCUCUAUCCAGGGAAAGUGGGAGCUUCCCAAGUUCAGAAAUCCCUAUCCGAGGAAAUCAGGAUAUUUUUGGGAUUGGGAAUUCCCUGUCCAGGGAAAUCAGGAAUUUUUUGGGAUUGGGAAUCCCUAUCCAAUGAAAUCAGGAGCUCCUCAGGGUCAGAAAUUCCUGUCCAAGGAAGUCAGGAACUUUUUGGGAUUGGGAAUCUCUAUCCAAGGAAAUCAGGAAUUAUUUGGGAUUUGGGAAUCCCUAUCCAAUGAA